rnacentral:pre_miRNA from 1 species
UAGAUACUCCCUCUGUCUGAAAAUACUUGUCAUUAAAAUGGACAAAAAGGAAUGUAUAUAAAACUAAAAUACAUCUAGAUACAUCCCCUUUUAUUUAUUUUGAUGACAAGUAUUUCCGGACGGAUGGAGUAUAAA